GAACCGCCGUUUUCACACGUAUAUAAAAGAAAAGAACUGCAAUCCUAGCUAGCUCAUUAAACGAAACAUUACGGCGCUCUCAAUCUCGCUUCUCUCUCUCCUUCGUCUCCUCCGACAACGCCGUUCUUCCCUCUCGGCUUCUCCUCUCUCCGCCGGUUACAAUUUCGCUAGCUCCGCGAUCGGGUCUUGUGUUGAAGCAUUCGAUUGACGUUGGUGCAGGGGUGAUUGACGCCGAUCGGGUCUUAUGUUCAACCAGUCUCAGAUCUCAGAUCUUGGAUCUUGGAUCUUCCUUCCUUGCAUCUGCCGUCGACACUGCUUACAAAGCCGGCGAGCAUUGAGGAAGCACAAGCUUCUCAUGUUUAUAGCUACAAGCAUGGUUUUAAAGGAUUUGCAGCCAAGCUCACUGAUGAACAAGCUUAUCAUAUUUCAAAAAUGCCAGAAGUGAUCUUUGUGUUCCCCAAUUCCAAGAGAAAGCUGCAUACAACUCAUUCAUGGGACUUCAUGGGGCUUCUUGAUGACCAAACCAUGGAGACUCUUGGCUACUCUAUAAGGAACCAAGAAAAUAUCAUAAUUAGUUUCAUUGAUACUGGUUUAUUUGUUUAUUAGCUUAAUGAGUUUGAAAACAAUUUAUUGGGAGAUUCAUCUAAGAGGUA